rnacentral:lncRNA from 1 species
UAGCUACAUGUACAAUUUUAUUAGUUAAGAUGAUUCUAGCUACAAGUAUCAGAAAUUCCAAAUUAAAAACAAAUUAAAAUACAGAUUAUUUAUUCUCUCAGAAAGUAUUAAGUAUCUCCAAAUGGGGGCUCCACAUAACUGGGUAACUUGUCAGGUUUACAACUUCAGCUAAGAUUCAUUUCAACUUUUUGUUCUAUCUUCCUGUUUGUCAGACCUAUCCUCAAACUAAGUCCUCUCAUGAAAACAAAAUUUUCAGGCUUCACAGUCAUCCAGAACUCUAUCCAACAAAAGAAUUGAUGCUGGGAAAAAGAAGAAGCAUAUGAGCUGGUAAUAGGUCUCCAACAAUCCCUGGUAGUCUGGAAUAAUAAAGCAUCUUGUUAUGAGUCUUUUUGUAUGAUU